UAAGACAGAGGUGGCGAGCGUUGUCCGGAUUUACUGGGCGUAAAGGGUGUGUAGGCGGUCGCGUAAGUCAGUUGUGAAAUCCGUCGGCUCAACCGAAGAAGAGCAACUGAUACUGCGUGGCUGGAGUGCGGAAGAGGAAAGUGGAAUUCCCCGGUGUAGCAGUGAAAUGCGUAGAUAUCGGGAAGAACACCAAUGGCGAAGGCGACUUUCUGGUCCGCUACUGACGCUGAGGCACGAAAGCCAGGGGAGCGAACGGGAUUAGAUACCCCGGUAGUCCUGGCUGUAAACUAUGGACACUAGGUGUGGGGGAGUUUUCUCCUCCGUGCCGCAGGAAACCCGUUAAGUGUCCCGCCUGGGAACUACGGCCGCAAGGCUAAAACUCAAAGAAAUUGACGGGGGCCCGCACAAGCGGUGGAGCAUGUGGCUCAAUUCGACGCAACGCGAGGAACCUUACUAGGGCUUGACAUGACUUGGAAAGCAUCCGAAAGGAUGCCCUCCCGCGAGGGACCGAGUCACAGGUGCU
rnacentral:rRNA from 1 species